rnacentral:rRNA from 1 species
GUCCAUGCCGUAAACGUUGGGCACUAGGUGUGGGGAACAUUCCACGUUUUCCGCGCCGUAGCUAACGCAUUAAGUGCCCCGCCUGGGGAGUACGGCCGCAAGGCUAAAAACUCAAAGGAAUUGACGGGGGCCCGCACAAGCGGCGGAGCAUGCGGAUUAAUUCGAUGCAAACGCGAAGAACCUUACCAAGGCUUGACAUGUUCCAGACCGCCUCAGAGAUGGGGUUUCCCUUCGGGGCUGGUUCACAGGUGGUGCAUGGUUGUCGU